rnacentral:rRNA from 1 species
AUGGCUGAACCAACUGGUCUUGCCGAGGCUUUGGAGAAGCUCGCUAAGAUCCUCGCGGAGUCCAACUCUGGGGCCAUCGUUCCUCGACAGGAAGUGGCUCAAAAGCUUGAAAUGUCGCCCCUGGACAUGAAGCUAGAGGGGGCAACAAAUUAUUUGAGCUGGUCCAGAAGGGCUUUGUGGGCUGUGGAGCAGAAGGAGCUUGAUGGAUAUUUGUUGGGCACCGUUGUAGAACCAAGGGACACGAGUAGUGCAGAGGGCAAGAGGUGGAAGGUCAUCCACUCUGUACUUAUGGUGUGGUUGUUGAACUCCGUGGUGCCCUCCAUUGGACGCUCUGUGGAGGGGCUAUCCUCACCUGCUGAGAUAUGGAAGAUUCUGUCCACUCAAUACUCUGGCAAGGGCAAUGUCAUGCUCAUUGCUCAGAUUGAGGACAAGAUUAGGUUGCUGCGUCAAGAUGAUGGCAUGUCAGUGAUGACAUACGUGGCAGAACUGCAGGCUCUGUGGGCUGACCAGGAUAACUGUGAUCCCUUGGAACUCUAUGAUGCGGCUUCAAUCGAGUCAGGGCAUAAGUGGAUGGCACGCAGGCGUGUGCUGAAAUUUUUGGCUGGCCUCAAAGGUUGCUUUGAUGGCAGGAAGGCUUCCCUGUUGCACCAACCUAGUCUGCCUACCAUUCCUGAGGCUAUUGCAGCGAUGACUCAAGAGGAGGUGCGCCUAUCCCUAGCAUGCAGACAUGAAGGUUGUGCCAGCUUCGACAUUUGCAGUCACUGA